UACAGAGGUGGCAAGCGUUGUUCGGAAUUACUGGGCGUAAAGGGCGCGUAGGCGGUUCGUCAAGUCCUGUGUGAAAUCCCCCGGCUCAACUGGGGAACUGCACAGGAAACUAGCGGGCUUGAGUUCGGGAGAGGGAAGCGGAAUUCCGGGUGUAGCGGUGAAAUGCGUAGAUAUCCGGAGGAACACCGGUGGCGAAGGCGGCUUCCUGGACCGACACUGACGCUGAGGCGCGAAAGCUAGGGGAGCAAAGCGGG
rnacentral:rRNA from 1 species